rnacentral:rRNA from 1 species
UAGGGAAUAUUGGUAAUGGGCGAAAGCCUGAACCAGCAACGCCGCGUGUGCGAUGAAGGCCUUCGGGUUGUAAAGCACUUUUGACCGGGACGAGGAAGGACGGUACCGGUGGAAUAAGCCUCGGCUAACUACGUGCCAGCAGCCGCGGUAAAACGUAGGAGGCGAGCGUUAUCCGGAUUUACUGGGUGUAAAGCGCGUGCAGGCGGUUAGCUAAGUUGGGUGUGAAAGCUCCGGGCUCAACUGGGAGAGGUCGAUCAAGACUGGCUGACUCGAGGAUGGUAGGGGAAGGUGGAAUUCCGCGUGUAGUGGUGAAAUGCGUAGAUAUCCGGAGGAACACCAGUGGCGAAGGCGGCCUUCUGGACCAUCACUGACGCUCAGACGCGAAAGCUAGGGUAGC